UACGUAGGGUGCGAGCGUUGUCCGGAAUUACUGGGCGUAAAGAGCUCGUAGGCGGUUUGUCGCGUCGUCCGUGAAAACUUGGGGCUCAACCCCAAGCUUGCGGGCGAUACGGGCAGACUUGAGUACUGCAGGGGAGACUGGAAUUCCUGGUGUAGCGGUGAAAUGCGCAGAUAUCAGGAGGAACACCGGUGGCGAAGGCAGGUCUCUGGGCCGAUACUGACGCUGAGGAGCGAAAGCGUGGGGAGCGAACAGG
rnacentral:rRNA from 1 species